rnacentral:lncRNA from 1 species
GAUAUACUAAAAGAAGACAGAUCAGUCUCUCUCCUGAUAAGAAGAGUCACCAAGAGAAACAUCUGCAACAACUAGACAGAUGCUGCUACAAAGAGACCAAUCAACAACUGCUCACAGAGAUACAGAUCUGAAGCACAGAAGUGCAAGAGACCUUCCUGAUGCCUUUGCCAGGAGCAUGGAAUUCUUCCCAGAGUCACAGAAGACGGCACAGCCUGGGGACAAUUGGGAAUCACCUGGAGGAUGGCAGGUGUAUACCCCUGAGUGGAAAUCCUGGGUCAUCAGAUGGACAGAAAUUGCCCUACAACACGAACCUGCAAGUAAUCAUCCGACCAACUUCCUCUACUGCUUGGGAAUUGCAGGCAAGUUCAAAUUCUUCCCCCAAAUUUCUCAGACUCCUCGGAGUUGUCUCAAAUCUACUUGAGAAUCGUUCUGUAUUUCCACGUAGCCCAUCUCCAGAAGCUACUGAAACACAUGCAUCAAAAGUCACUGCAAGUGGGAAAAGGGUCCCUGAAUUCCUUCUGCGCCCCGCGCUGCUACAUAAAGGGUCGUGUUGA